rnacentral:rRNA from 1 species
AUGAACGCUGGCGGCGUGCCUAAUACAUGCAAGUCGAGCGAACGGACGAGAAGCUUGCUUCUCUGAUGUUAGCGGCGGACGGGUGAGUAACACGUGGAUAACCUACCUAUAAGACUGGGAUAACUUCGGGAAACCGGAGCUAAUACCGGAUAAUAUUUUGAACCGCAUGGUUCAAAAGUGAAAGACGGUCUUGCUGUCACUUAUAGCUGGAUCCCCGCUGCAUUAGCUAGUUGGUAAGGUAACGGCUUACCAAGGCAACGAUGCAUAGCCGACCUGAGAGGGUGAUCGGCCACACUGGAACUGAGACACGGUCCAGACUCCUACGGGAGGCAGCAGUAGGGAAUCUUCCGCAAUGGGCGAAAGCCUGACGGAGCAACGCCGCGUGAGUGAUGAAGGUCUUCGGAUCGUAAAACUCUGUUAUUAGGGAAGAACAUAUGUGUAAGUAACUGUGCACAUCUUGACGGUACCUAAUCAGAAAGCCACGGCUAACUACGUG